CUUCCUUCUCCCCGGUAGCAGGCGGCGGGGCCCAAGUUCGGUGGAAAAAUGCUGGGCAUGUACGUGCCGGAUAGGUUCGCCCUGAAGUCGUCCCGGGUGCAAGACGGGAUGGGGCUCUACACGGCCCGCAGAGUGAAGAAGGGUGAAAAGUUUGGCCCCUUUGCAGGGGAGAAGCGAAUGCCGCAGGAACUGGAUGACAACACAGACUGCAGGCUCAUGUGGGAAGUUCGUGGGAGCAAAGGUGAGAUCCUUUAUAUUCUGGAUGCCAGCAACCCACGCCAUUCAAACUGGCUGCGGUUUGUCCAUGAGGCUCCAUCCCAGGAACAGAAGAACCUGGCAGCCAUCCAGGAAGGGGAAAAUAUUUUCUAUCUGGCUGUGGAAGAUAUUGAAACAGACACAGAACUUCUGAUUGGGUACUUGGACAGUGACAUGGAAGAAGAGGAGGAGGAGGAAGUAACUGUUAGCCAGGAAGAUGAAGACAGUGGCAGCAAUAAAGUAGUACAACCAGCUGGUGAAAAAGUUGCAGAUCCCCUCACCUGUAAACAGGACCAUGCAUGCCCAAACUGUGAAUCCAGUUUUGCCAGCCAGGAGAUCCUAGCUGAGCAUCUGCAGACUUUGCACCAAAAACCCAGUGAGGAAAAGGAAUUUAAGUGCCGAAAUUGUGAAAAGAAAUUCCCUGUUAAACAAGCUCUACAAAGACAUGUCCUUCAGUGCACAGGGAAUAUCAGCGCAGGAGACUCCUCAAGAGGUUUCCAGUGCUCUGUUUGCACUACUGCCUUCAGCUCGGAAUCGAGUUAUGAGCAGCACAAGGAGGCGUGUAGAGGGGAUGCCAGGUUCAUAUGCAAGGCAGAUAGCUGUGGGAAGAAGUUCAAGAGCAAGGAUGCCCUGAAAAAACACAAAGAAAAUGUUCACAGUGGAAAUUCUAGGAAGAAGCUGAUGUGUUCAGUGUGCAAUAAGAAAUGUUCCUCAGCAGCAAAUCUCCAGGAGCAUCGAAAGGUCAGUGAGAUGAAGGCUGACUCACAGCAGGCACUGACUUCCCUGAGAUGUGAGGCCGUGCUGCUCACGUCACUUGAAAGCUGCUGUAAUGCAAGCCUUUGGGUGAUCUCUUUCAAGGUCCAUGAGAUCUUUGAGUGUCAAGAAUGUGACAAGAAAUUCAUUUCGGCAAACCAACUGAAACGCCAUAUGAUAACUCAUUCAGAAAAACGCCCCUACACCUGCGAGGUUUGCAAUAAGUCCUUCAAACGACUUGACCAAGUGACUGCACACAAAAUAAUACACAGUGAAGAUAAACCUUAUAAAUGCAAGCUUUGUGGAAAGGGAUUUGCCCACAGAAAUGUUUACAAGAAUCACAAGAAGGUACAGCACAGACAGCAGCACUGCGAGCUUCCCCACAGUGUCUCAUCAAUGUGUCCCAACCCUGUUCUGGAGGAACCCCCUGUUGAGACCCAUUCUGAAGAGAGACCAUUCCAGUGCGAGGAAUGCAAAGCCUUGUUCCGAACCCCCUUCUCUCUACAAAGACAUCUGUUAAUCCAUAACAGUGAGAGGACCUUCAAGUGUGAUCACUGUGAUGCCACUUUCAAAAGAAAGGACACAUUAAAUGUUCAUAUUCAAGUUGUACAUGAUGGACAUAAGAAAUACAAGUGUGACCUGUGUGACAAAGCUUUUGUGACACCCUCAGUCCUGAAGAGCCAUAAGAAAACUCACACAGGAGAAAAAGAGAAGAUUUGCCCAUAUUGUGGACAGAAGUUUGCAAGCAAUGGAACACUAAGAGUUCAUAUUCGAAGCCAUACAGGUGAGCGUCCUUACCAGUGUCCUUACUGUGACAAAGCUUUCAGCAAGAACGAUGGCUUGAAGAUGCACAUUCGCACCCACACCAGGGAAAAGCCAUACCAGUGCUCAGAGUGUAACAAGGCUUUCAGUCAGAAGCGAGGCCUGGACGAGCAUAUGAGGACCCACACCGGGGAGAAGCCCUUCCAGUGUGAUGUUUGUGACCUGUCCUUCAGCCUGAAGAAGAUGCUGAUCCGACACAAGCUGACUCACAACCCCAACCGCCCCAUGGCAGAGUGCCAGCUCUGCCACAAGAAGUUUACAAGGAAUGACUACCUCAAAGUGCACAUGGAAAAUGUCCAUGGAGAAACUGACAGCUAAAUACAGCCUCAGUGAGAAGAGUGGAUCCAAAGUGGUGUAUUUGCAUAUGUACAAACUCCAGACAUUCCACCUGGACAGUAAGCAUAGUCAGGAGAAACAACUGUAAUGCCUUCACACGUUAUUUUUCCUAAUUUUGUUGAAAAUGUGUUAGUAGGAAAAAACCAAAGACAUUCUGAUGCAAAACAGCUUGAAAAUAAAAAAAAUGAAGAUAAAGAAAAAUUUUAUCCUCAUUUAAACAAAGAAACUUUAAGCAAACUUCUCCUCAUUAAUGACAUUUUUAGAACUUAGACAUUAGUAGCAGUGCCUGGAAAUCCUGGACACUUGCAAUUAAACUCUUGGCUGUCUGCAACUAUUUUUGUAUCUAACCUACAAGGCUCCAUUAAAAUUAUUUGAUUUGAAACCACACAGAAUUUGUCAUUCUAAUUGACUACUGAUUGUAUGCAGGUUUGUUUUAUUCAUAUCACAAUUCUGCAUUUUGUUGUAGCACGGUUUUGUCUGAUUUUAUUUGCAGCUUUCUCAUUACUGUAUGAAACUCAUUAACUUGAAUUGGUUCUUGAGAUGCCAGAAUGUGUGGGUAGAGAACUGUGGAAAUCUGUCAACAUUCAGUAUUCCUGUAUGAGAUUGAGGAGGAUUUAUUGCUUCUAGUUACAUGAAACUGAAAUGAAAGUUUUGAGCCAUUUAGUUUUAAGUACUGUAUUCAUACUCCUCACUGUGGCUGGCAGGGCAAGUGGAAAGACAUCUUAACAGGGUGGCUUGAGCCGCUAAAAUUGUUGAGUUUACAUAUAUUUGAUUUCCUGGUGAACAGCUGGUUCCCACAGUCUUUCUUCCUGCUGAAUCACAUGCCCUGGAUUUCUUCAUACCUCAUAAAUACUUUUUUCUUUUUUUUUCUAAUUCUGUUCAUAAGCACUGAGAAAAAUACUGCUUUAAAACCAAGUAACAAUCGAAUUCAUGUUAUCAGAGUGAGUUGUUUGCUGCAGGAGACUCUUCAAAAGAGUUUACACAAGCCCUAUUGUACAGCCCGAUAAACAAGAAAUUCUUAUCUACAAGACAGUAAAACUGUAAUUUCAGAAGGUGAUUGCAUGUGGAAUUCCUGAGUUAUCAGCAGUUAAUAUUAAGGCUCUGGCAUUAGCAAACUGUUCAGAUUAAUUUUGGACCUGUCAGUGUUGUGCACAAUGAACUUGGGACAUCUGUAUAGUGUUCCUUGGGACAUCUGUAUAGAUUCUGGGGAAGUGUAAUUAUGAACAGUUCUCUUGUUUGUGGCAACAAACAGCAGUUCUCUUGUUUGUGUAAAAGCAUCCUAAACCUUCACGCCCUGUUUGCUUCUUGAGAGGUGGGAUAAACUUGGAAUCUUUGUUAGUUCCAUUCCACAAAUAAUUUGUUCAAUCAUAAAUCAAGUAUAUUGAAUGUGUCUAAGACAAAUGUAGUUGAAAUAAGCAUUAUAAAGUUGAGUAAAGAAUAUUUCCUCUCCUUGUUUAUAGAGAUUUUGUUACAAUUUAUCUGAGCAGUUUAUUUCUAGGUCCAGAAAACUUCAAUUUACUGGUAGUUACUAUAAAAAUAAUAUAAUUUUAAGUGUUAGAUAGCAAAAGCAACCAGUAUCAUAUACUGAGUUCUGUGAUGGUUUUUCAGCUUUAUAUUAUGAAUUAUCUCCAAGGAGAAUUAGAUUGGUGCUGUUUUUGACGUGUCUGGGGUGGGUUACUUUGUUGUUGUUGUUGUUUGCCUUUUUGACAUCAAUGAAAGGAAGAAUUGAGUCAUAGGAAAACCAAGAUUCCAAUUCUUUGUUUUUCAGCCUUUUAUGUUUUUCCUUAUUCUAUUUGGUCAGUACAAUCUCAGGCACAAAGAACAGUAGAAGGAAAAUAAAACACUAAAAAAACCCCAAAACAGCCAAAAGUGAAAGUUUUCUAAGUUUUUGAGGGGCAAGUCUGUUAAAAUCCUCUUUUCAAAGAAGAAAAUCCUUUUGGGGAGAAAAAGAGGAUAAUUUAACAUAUUUACAUGUUUUGUGUAGGAUUUUCCCAGAAAUCUGUACUGCAAAGUUGCUUCAUGUUUAGGGUUAAUAUUUGCUUUAAAAAAGAACACCUAGUUGUGAAAGUCAGUAAGUAGAGAGGAGAAUGUGCUUCUUUUUUUCAAUGAUUUCUAGGUAAGCUGCAAUAUAUAAAGAUUAAUUUUGUUGUAUGUAAUCAGCAACAGCAGUUAAGCAGCUGAAGCUUUGACCUUGUUAAUGGUGUCAACAGAACAAGGGAUUGACAGGAUCAUUGAAAGAAUUCAAAUCUCCCUGGCAAACAGAAGAAGCAGGUGCAGGAGCUUGAAGCCCAGUUCCAGGUGAGCAUCUUUUCCAUCUUGUCCUCCAGGAACUUUCCCUUUGGGCUAAAAUGGAUGCAGACCUGAGCUGCUACAGAGCCAGAACCUGGUCUUUCCACAGCAAGAGAUGUCCUGUUCUUUCCAUGGGGGCCUGAUUUUCUCCCAGAAGUCUCUCCCAGUCAGAGGUAAUAUGUUUCACAUUACUGGAUUCAUGAACUAUAUAAUUGAUUUUAUAUGUGAAGCAGACUUACCAGUAUGCUACAUAUUUUUAUUUGAGCAUAGCUUUCUUAAAGGAAAAAAAAAAAAAAAGUAGAAAACCAAAAGAAACAGAAAGGAAAAAAACGCAUUCCAGCAAACCCUUCCUUGAGUAAAAAUUUCCAUUGACAAUGUCUCACUUGGUAUUACCUGGAAAAAAUAGAGAAUGUUCCCUUCACCUGAUUUUGAGAAGUGAUAAAGGGAAAUGUGUUGCUCUACAGGUAAUUGUAAGUUUUUUAGUGUUGUGGUUUUAUAUUUGUUCAUUAAUAUGAUUUAUUAAAAUAUUGACAUUUCCAUAGUAAGUGGUGCCUUGCAGAAUAAUAUGAAAAUCUAGAGUUAUUCCUGUAAGAGUGUGUAGUCACUGCAAUUUUAGAAGGUUGUGACUUUUUCCCGGUGUUCUGGAAUUUUCUGCAGAUAGCAUUCUCUUUGUUCUCCUAAUUUUUCCACUACCAUUGGCCCCUCUUGUAGAGAGCUCCAUCUCUGAUACUAGGAACAGCAGCACUCUCACUAGUUUCUUUUGCUUUUCAUUCUGAUCAGCUGUGUGGCCUAAAGGUGAUACAAAUCAUUAAGAUGAUAAAUACCCUUUCAUUUUUCUAAUGUUAGAUUUCUGGUCUGUCUGUAUGACUGUGAAGGAUUUCAGGUACUCUUUAAUAUAAGCUAUCAAGUCCUAAGUAGAAAUCAGAUAAAGGAGGGAAUAGUAAGUUAACCUCUGCUGGGCAUUUUGUGGUGUUUUAGAUUGCAGCUUUUAGUGCUCUGCAUUUGUGUCAAUAAGUACAGGUGCUUUUAUUCUUCCAGGGCAUCUGACUCUGUAUUUGUUUUAGUUUUUCAGUGUAAAAGGUAGCAUAACAUUCCCUCUAAAACACCACUUUGAGUGGAGGAGCUCUGUUUUCUGCUGUCAGGGUGUGAUCACGGUAGAGUAAAAUGUUUUCAGUUCAGUUACGUACUUACUGCACUGAAGUGUUGGAGUUUUCUUCACAGUGAGAUUUGAAAUCUGCUUGGGUUUUUUAGGCAAGUGUGAGCUCAGAAUACAACAGCAGUUACAGCUAUAAAAUUGUGUUCUUCAGCAUGAAUUCUGACAACUGUAAGUUCUGUGAUACAUUAAGAAGAUGGGGACGAAUGUAAGUAAUUUAAUUCACAGCUGAGAAGUUGUCACAGGUAAAAUUUCCUUGACCUGGAAAUUCAUUGAAUAAUUAUUCAUUGAAUAAUUUCAACCUGCAAUAACCAGUCUUCUAUUUAAUAGUAAUUGCCUGUUUAGUCUUUUAUUUCCCAUCCCCUUCUCUUUGUAAGCUGUUCUGACUCUGUAUGAUGCUGUGGGCUGGGGCAGACAGUGAACUGGCAGAGCUCAGUGUUUGCAAAGUGUUUGCUGCUCACUUUCCCUGAGCCCUUAUGCUGAAGGGAAGUGUUUGUUAUGCUCAAGUAGCAAUGUCUUGGAGUUUGCUAAUAUCAGUUGCUUCUCAUGUUGCAGCAGCAGUGGGAUCAGAGCUGGCCAUGAUAUCCAAGCUGUCGUCACCCUCCAGUGGUGAGGGAAACGAGGGGGAAACACCCACCCAUGUCACAAGUGCAGGAGAGACCUGAUGGUCAAUUUGUCUCCAUGGUCUCCAGUUGGGUUAGGCAGGAAAAGAUUCCUGGAUCUCCAUCACUGUGUAUGUCCUGGGCGUGGUAUAUCAGAAAAAUCUAGGUAAUAAGAUGGAGAAACAAAAGUAAAGCCACUUAGUGUUUGACUCCUGGUGUUACUGUGUAAGACCAUGAGGUCUUUCCAACAACUAACCCAAGGAAACUUUAAUUUAGGAAUUAUUCAACUUAAGAAAGAAAAAUAGUAAGAGUUGCCACCAAAGUGUUUGAAAUGGUGUGAUCCCACAAGUCUUUAAUGGAAAAGGUAUGCAUGCAUAUGCAUAAAGUGUUAUAUAGGUCAGAUACAUAAAAGGCUAGAAUGGAAAGGCAAGAUCACAGUUUCACAGGGCUCUGGAAGUCUGAUUCUGUGUGUGCUCCUGGAAAUUAGUAGAGUCUAACUAAAUUUUGGAAUUUGACUCCAUUGUCCAGGUUUUCACUAGCAGGGUGUCCUGAUAAGCAGAAACUUGGUUCUGUACAAAUAAAACCAGAAAAUGUCCCAGUUUAAAUCUGAUAUUUUGUUUAAAAAAUUGCGACUUUUUAUUAUUAAGUUAUGUUGGUUGUAUAUAAAUAUCCCACAGGACAUCUUGCAUCACAAACAGAUAUGACUAGCUGUACUUCAAAUACCAUUCAUCAUGUGUUCAUAGCCUUUAUCUGUCAAAUCUCUGAAGCAAUGGAAGGAUCUCAGGAUGUUUGUACAGCAGCAGCAGCAUCAGGUAGAUGUAGCACAUAGUGAACUGGGAAUAACUAGUUGACAAUUUUCUAAUUCCAUUUGUUGCAUGAAGCAGCAUGUUCUUGGCUGAACAAUAAUCAAAGAGGUUGUUUUCAUUUCUGUUUUCCUUUGAGAAGGGCAUUCAGCAAAAAGGAACCAAUAAUAAAAGUUGUUUUAGGUUUGUGGUUUCAGAGGUUUUCUUGGUUCUCUUUCUACAGGGAAAAGACUGUAAGCCCUUGAAUCCACAAGUUCAUUUCCAGUUUACCAGCUGUUCAAACAAAACUGGGAGGCAAUGCUUCAACAGAAUUUUUUCCCAUAAGUUUCCAAGAAGCCUUAAUGACUACUUAAUCAGAACAAAAGAGAGUACUUAAAAGACAUGGCAACACAAGGCUACACCUAUUGUUUUUAAGUCUCUGGGAGUGUCCCUCAGAGGGGAGAGAUAACGAGCUUUGGGAAAGGUAAAAAGACAAAGCUAGGGGAGGGGAACUCACUCUUGCUCUCAGCGCCAAGGAGGACGGUCAGGCUGCCCCUCACUGCAGGAAGAGUUCACGGCCAUCACUCUGCCUCUGUCUCGUCCUGGGAAGUCUACCGUCAACUGCUCGUGUACCCAGGAAUCCUGAGCUCGCUUUCUCCAGCCUCCCACCACCGCUGCUUCUUCGGAGCUUUGAAGUUCCCCUGCUACUCUGUAGCCCAGCACUGCGAGCCCUGCUGGGACACCCCCUGCCAUUCCAGCUACCAAGGCAGAGUUACUUCAUCUCAUCCACCAGCCCAGAACUUUCCUCCCUUCCAGCUCAGCCUCUCGGAGUCCUGCAAGGGCACCAAGAUCAAACUGCCCCGGGCUCUUUUUGUGAAAAAAAAAAGCCCUCAAGGUUCUUAGUUCUGUUUAUUAUUAAUGCUGUAGUUGUUGUUUGUUUGUUGUUUUGUCAUAUAUACUAGUAAAGAACUGUUA